rnacentral:pre_miRNA from 1 species
AAGAGGAAAUGGAAAUUUUUGGGUGAGAGGUUGCCGGAAAGAAUACAUAAUAUUCAUCCAAGUUUUGAUAUUAAAUUCUUUCCGAAACCUCCCAUUCCAAUGAUUUCCAGCUAUUCCUUU